AUGAACGCUAGCUACAGGCUUAACACAUGCAAGUCGGAGGGGCAGCAUGCUGAUAGCUUGCUAUCAGUGAUGGCCGACCGGCGCGACGGGUGAGUAACGCGUAUCCAACCUGCCUGUCACUCAGGAAUAGCCCGGUGAAAACCGGAUUAAGUCCCUGAUGAUAUCAUUAGAGGGCAUCUGACGAUGAUUAAAGGUUACGGUGACAGAUGGGGAUGCGUCUGAUUAGCUUGUUGGCGGGGUAACGGCCCACCAAGGCAACGAUCAGUAGGGGUUCUGAGAGGAAGGUCCCCCACAUUGGAACUGAGACACGGUCCAAACUCCUACGGGAGGCAGCAGUGAGGAAUAUUGGUCAAUGGACGGAAGUCUGAACCAGCCAAGUAGCGUGCAGGAUGACGGCCCUAUGGGUUGUAAACUGUCUUUUAUGUGGGAAUAAAGUCAGGGACGUGUCCCUGUUUGCAUGUACCACAGGAAUAAGGACCGGCUAAUUCCGUG
rnacentral:rRNA from 1 species